UACGUAGGGUGCAAGCGUUGUCCGGAAUUAUUGGGCGUAAAGAGCUCGUAGGCGGUUUGUCGCGUCUGCUGUGAAAACCCGAGGCUCAACUUCGGACCUGCAGUGGGUACGGGCAGACUAGAGUGCGGUAGGGGAGAUUGGAAUUCCUGGUGUAGCGGUGAAAUGCGCAGAUAUCAGGAGGAACACCGGUGGCGAAGGCGGGUCUCUGGGCCGAUACUGACGCUGAGGAGCGAAAGCGUGGGGAGCGAACAGG
rnacentral:rRNA from 1 species